ensembl:lncRNA
UUUGAAUGUUCCUAGCAUGGUUUCAGAUUCAAAUACAUUUUUAACAUUAUCAUAAUAUAUUCAAAAGAUUCUUGAUCCAUGUCAAAAUACAUUGAUUUAAAUUUGAGUUUAAAUACUGGAUUCACCCCUACUUCAGCUACUCCUGACCUUUCUCACCCAUGUUAUUUUUUAGAAAAGUUUGUUUUUUUUUUUUUUUUUUUUUUUAGCGGGCAAAUUUGCCCCAUCUGGAAAUAUGGAAGACAAUAUCUGAAGAUAGUUUUCAUUGUCACAGUCUGAAGGAUGGUGCUAUCAGCAUCUAGUGGACAGAGGACAGGGAUGCUGCAAAACAUCCUAUGAUGUGUGUAUAUCUCUACACAACAAAGCAUUAUCCAACCCCAAAGUUUCUAAAGUCCCAAGGUUGAGAAAACCAGCUUUUGGAAAAAUAAUCAUCUUUUUUCUCCCUUAAUUCACGUAUUAAAUAAUUCUAGGCCAUUUUACAGAAAGGAGAUACUAUAAUAACUACUUUUUGGAUCUGAAAAUACAGCCAUGCUCUGAAUAACAAUGUUUUGGUCAUUGAUGUACCACAUAUAUGAAGGUGGUCCGGAACAUGAAGCAUCAGAUUGAAUGAAACCUUCCAAGGCCUUUCAGAAGUGUCUCGAAGUCUCCAACAACUGCAUCCAGCUACUCAUCAUUAUCAAGUUCCAAGAAAUGAGGGAUGAAAAUAAAACAUAUAGUGAAGAGCAGUCUUAUGUGCACAGUCUUUUGAAUGUUACCCAGCCAUAUAGGAAGAGACCAUGGGCCUGGAAUGCUUCCUCAACAAGAGAUAAAGAGCCUGCACAUGUGUGUCAAUGGUCCUUAGACACACCCUCAGCUUCAGCAUUUCAGAUUCCAUGCAGUGUGAGUCAAGGUCUUUGUACUGUGGUUUUAGAGGUGUGCACGUAGGGUAGUUGCUCUGAGUUGUGGGGGGCACCAACCAUGGGAGAUCUAUGCAUGCAACAGGGAUUUGUCUCCCUCUGUUUUGUGUACAUGAGUAAAAGCACUCUUCCAUCCCGUGAUUGACUGUGUUGUGUUCACCGUGGUGACUCUAAUAUCAAGAUGAAUUGGACAGAAGUAUUUGGACUUCUGGUCCUGGUGGUUGACAUAAAACUUUGCAUGAAGAACACUGGCCUCUAACUAAAGGUAUGUCAGUCAUAUUCAAAGAAAUAUAGCAAAAAUAAAUCUGCAUCUCAAGUAGAAUAAUCAUCUCAGGUUAAAUCGAGUUGUUUUUAAUAUUAUCAUACGGGUUAACUAACCCAAGUUUAACAUAUGAUGAGUGUGAUUUGCCAAAAAGAAAAAAAAAAUAUAUAUAUAUAUAGUGCAAGUAAGUACAGGGAAUUGAAGGUCAAUAGAAAAAUCUUCACAGCCAUUAUGUCAAUCUCUUGCAACAUUCCAGAGCUGAGCUCUCCAAAAGAAAUACAGUAUGAGACAUAAAUGUGGGUCAUAUAUGUAAUUUUAAGUUUUGUAGUAAAAAAGUAAAACAGAAAAUUAUUUCAGAAUGUUAAAUAUAUUAAACUUUAUUUUUCGUUCAUAUCAUAUAUUUUAUUCUACUAUAUAGAUUUGCUUAACGAAAUAAUAUUUAUUCUUCAUUUUGCUAUAUUUGUUUUCUAAUAUUGAGAUCUGUGACACUUAUAUAGCCAGUAUUGUUAUAAUUAUUUAAUUUCCACAACAUAAAAAUCUGAACAUAGACGGUGAAGUUGUUUUCUUUAGGGUGCAGAAUCUAAAAGAGCUAAAAUAUUUAAUGCUACAUAAAUGGUAAUGAUCAUAAUAUAAGAUCUGAAAUCUAGAUGCCAUUCCCAUAACAUCCAGACCUCACUUAAUUCAGUACAGAUGCUUUAAAGGCAAGUGGAAAGAUACGUUUUCAAUUGCAAAUUUCCUUAGUUAUUUCAGUUUUAUUUUCUAUUUUGUAAGAAGCCUGAACUUUAUUUUAGGAGUCCAUUGCCAUGUCAAAGCCUCAGCUUAUCACACGAUGUGAGAACUAAGGGAAAUCAACUAGGAAAACAUUCAUUGGCAGAGAAAGCUGACUGAUUAGAACGACAGAUGGGAAAAGCAAAACUUAAAUCCAGGGAUUUCUGGCCAGCUAACAACCUAGGAGAUAUUUCAGAAAGACCGGAACAAGUUGUUGACUUGGAAUCAGUGAAUAUGUAACAUCAUUCCAACAGAAUCUUGAUUUGAGUAAAUAAUUUAAAAGCUAAGCACAUAAUUUACACAGUGAAUAUGCCACAGAAAGAUGGCUGGGAAUUUGCAAUAUAUAUACUCAUAGCACUUGAUGCUGGUUAUGCUUAUAUAUGCAUAGAUUACUGUAUUGAUAUAAAUGACUGAGAUUGACCACUGUUACUAAAAGUUCUCAUUUUUCCUUAUUUAAACUAUGUUAAUAGGUACAGAACAGAGUAAUCAGUCACAUUUAUAUCUACUUGUUUUACUGAUGAAACUAAGAUGCAAACCAAUACAACUGAAAAGAUAUUCAUUCAAAGUAUUGCUAGUAUUGCGAUAUACAUAG